CGAGAAGAAAGCAAAGAGAAGAGGAAGAAGAAAGCCCCAUUUUGUUUUUUCUCUUUCUCUUUCGGUGUUGAAUGGAAAAAAAAAAAAAAAAA
rnacentral:ribozyme from 13 species